CCUACGGGUGGCAGCAGUGAGGAAUAUUGGUCAAUGGACGAGAGUCUGAACCAGCCAAGUAGCGUGAAGGAUGACUGCCCUAUGGGUUGUAAACUUCUUUUAUAUGGGAAUAAAAUGUUCCACGUGUGGGAUUUUGUAUGUACCAUAUGAAUAAGGAUCGGCUAACUCCGUGCCAGCAGCCGCGGUAAUACGGAGGAUCCGAGCGUUAUCCGGAUUUAUUGGGUUUAAAGGGAGCGUAGGUGGAUUGUUAAGUCAGUUGUGAAAGUUUGCGGCUCAACCGUAAAAUUGCAGUUGAAACUGGCAGUCUUGAGUACAGUAGAGGUGGGCGGAAUUCGUGGUGGAGCGGUGAAAUGCUUAGAUAUCACGAAGAACUCCGAUUGCGAAGGCAGUUCACUGGACUGCAACUGACACUGAGGCUCGAAAGUGUGGGUAUCAAACAGGAGUAGAUACCCUGGUAGUC
rnacentral:rRNA from 1 species